UGCUCCAAAGAUUGAUGAAGAUUUCCUGCCAGGAGUGACAGGAAAAUUCUCAAUUCACUUCCUACGUGAAUGCAUUACGCGGUAACCGUAACCGUGGGCUGGUUUCCCAGAGAGAACCGGUGUCCUAGAUCUCUCUGGACCCCGGGAAACUCUCCUCAGACCGGGUUUCCUGGCUGUGGGCCUGGGAGAGGCAGCAGUGAGCAGCGCGGCGUCUGGAACUGCAGCACGGGGACACCGGAACCUCCCAGGAAUUCCAGUGUUUGUUCCUAAGACAGAAACUCAGAGCAGAGCAACAAGAAGAAUGACUGCUUCUUUGGUAAAUACACCCCAGGUUAGUUGCAUGUCCACAUGUCUUUGAAAAUUGUAUGUCUUAUUGAACCCAUUCAAAACUUUAAUUAUCUACAUCGUAAUGUUAUCUAAAGUAUUUAUGUUCUGUGAUUUAUCUUCAUUUUCAUUUCUGAUAAUCAAAAUGAUUAUAGCUUCCUUGUUCUAGUAUACUUUCCCUCGAUAUUAGAGCAUGAGGACAUAAAUUUCCUUAGACUGAAGGCACGCAACUCUGGAAGGGAAUCUAUUGUAGUUGACACUCAAUGAAUAUAAUGUCCGAUUUUGACAUCAGACAGGC
rnacentral:lncRNA from 1 species